rnacentral:rRNA from 1 species
UACGUAGGGGGCAAGCGUUGUCCGGAAUCAUUGGGCGUAAAGAGCGCGUAGGCGGCCCAGUAAGUCCGCUCUGAAAGUCAGGGGCUCAACCCCUGGAUGCGGGUGGAUACUGCUGGGCUAGAGUCCGGAAGAGGUGAGUGGAAUUCCUGGUGUAGCGGUGAAAUGCGCAGAUAUCAGGAGGAACACCGAUGGCGAAGGCAGCUCGCUGGGACGUGACUGACGCUGAGACGCGAAAGCGUGGGGAGCAAACAGG